GAGGAAUUGUGGCCCACUCUUCUUUAACACCUUGCUUGAGUUCAUUGAGGUAUGCUGGCAUUCGUUGAUGCGUAGCUCUCUUAAGGUACCACAACUUUACUUCAAUCGGGUUUAGGUCAGGACUCUCACUGGGCUAUUGCAACACCUUGAUUCUUUUCUUUUUCAGACAUUCUGUUGUAGAAUGGUGAGCUUGUGAUCAUUGUCCUGUUGCAUGACCCAGUUUUGGCCAAGCUUGAGCUGUCAAACAGAUGGCCUCACAUUUGACUCUAGAAUACUUUGGUAUACAGAGUUCAUGGUCGACUCAAUGACUGCAAGGUUCCCAGGUCCUAUGGCUGCAACACAAGCCCAAGUCAUCACCCAUCCACCACCAUGCUUGACAGUUGGUAUGAGGGGUUUGUUCUGAUUUGCUGUGUUUUGUUUUCAGCAAACGUGGUACUGUGCAUUAUGGCCAAACAUCUCCACUUUGGUCUUGUCUGUACCAGAAGUCUUAUGGUUUGUUCAGAUGCAACUUUGCAAAACUAAGCUGUACUGCCAUGUUCUUUUUCGAGAGAAGAUGCUUUCUCCUGGCAACCCUUCCAAACAAACCAUACUUGCUCAGUCAUUUUUUAUUUGUACUGUCAUGAAUGUUAACAUUUAGCAUGCUAACUGAGGCCUGUAGAGUCUGAGAUGUAAUUCUUGGAUCUGAAUUUACUGGGAAG